rnacentral:rRNA from 1 species
GCUUGUCUCAAAGAUUAAGCCAUGCAUGUCUAAGUAUAAGCAACCUUAUACAGCGAAACUGCGUACAGCUCAUUAUAUCAGCAAUUAUUUAUUUGAAGAUCACCUAUUACAUGGAUAACCGUGGUAAUUCUAGAGCUAAUACAUGCGAAAAGACGGGCCGCAAGGCUUGUUGUAUUUAUUAGGUACAGAACCAAUGCAAGCUCCGCUUGACCUUUUGGUGAUUCAUGGUAACCGAACGAAUCGCACGGCACCAGCUGGCGAUGGACCAUUUCAGUUUCUGACCUAUCAGCUUCCGACGGUAGGAUAUGGGCCUACCGUGGCAAUGACGGGUAACGGAGAAUUAGGGUUCGAUUCCGGAGAGGGAGCCUGAGAAACGGCUACCACAUCUAAGGAAGGCAGCAGG